rnacentral:rRNA from 1 species
GACGGAGGGUGCUAGCGUUGUUCGGAAUUACUGGGCGUAAAGGGCGCGUAGGCGGCUACGGCAGUCGGGUGUGAAAGCCCGGGGCUCAACCCCGGAACUGCAUCCGAUACUCUGUGGCUAGAGACCGGAAGAGGUGGGUGGAAUACCCAGUGUAGAGGUGAAAUUCGUAGAUAUUGGGUGGAACACCGGUGGCGAAAGCGGCUCACUGGUCCGGUUCUGACGCUGAGGCGCGAAAGCGUGGGGAGCAAACAGGAUUAGAUACCCUGGUAGUCCACGCCCUAAACGAUGCGAGCUGGAUGUCGGGGGGCUUGCCCCUCGGUGUCGGAGCUAACGUGUUAAGCUCGCCGCCUGGGGAGUACGGCCGCAAGGUUAAA